AUACGUAGGGGGCGAGCGUUGUCCGGAAUGAUUGGGCGUAAAGGGCGCGUAGGCGGCCCGGUAAGUCUGGAGUGAAAGUCCUGUUUUUAAGAUGGGAAUUGCUUUGGAUACUGUCGGGCUUGAGUGCAGGAGAGGUAAGUGGAAUUCCCGGUGUAGCGGUGAAAUGCGUAGAGAUCGGGAGGAACACCAGUGGCGAAGGCGGGUAACUGGACUGCAACUGACGCUGAGGCGCGAGAGUGUGGGGAGCAAACAGGAUUAGAUACCCUGGUAGUCCACACUGUAAACGAUGAAUGCUAGGUGUAAGAGGUAUCGACCCCUUUUGUGCCGGAGUCAACACAAUAAGCAUUCCGCCUGGGGAGUACGGCCGCAAGGCUGAAACUUAAAGGAAUUGACGGGG
rnacentral:rRNA from 1 species